rnacentral:lncRNA from 1 species
GUGUUUUUAAUUGAUAAGGGGGGGGGUCGCACUCAGAGGCUUGCUAUGUGAAAGGGGUCACCAGUACAAAAGUUUGAGAGCCACUGGACUAGAAGAUCUGGUGAGUCCUUCUGGCUUUGUACCCUAGAGGGAGCUGUGAAGGCCGCUCUGCUGUCUGAACAACAAAGCCAAAUGCACUGAAAUUUGAAAAGGAGUCAGGCCCCUGGUGCCAGGCGUGGAACAAAGGCCUGGGGGUGAUGAGGUGGACACUGCUCACAGGAUCCAAAAAAAUGGAGAAGGCCAGGCCUGCACCCUGCCUGUGGAGAGCCUGUGGAGACAGCCAGAUGAAUAACAAAGGCAGGGAAGAGUCUCACCUGUGGAGGAGGUUGGGUGAGAGUGGAGCAGCUGGAGUGGCAGCACCAGACAGCAGAGACUGGAGGCAGACCUGCUGCUGAAGGAUGAACCACGCACCUGCCAGGAGAACAUUCAGCAGCUGGAGGCCAAGAUGCAGGAGCAGGCCACCAGGAUUGGGAGCAAGGCAGUGGGAGCCGUGGAGGGGAAGCUGAGGGAAGCAAGAGAUGCUGGAGAAGGGCUGUAGAGGAAGAGCCGGCAGGACUGCAUAAGAGAGCUCCAAGCUGAGGGGGAGAUAACCAGACACCCCAAGAUCUGUCACGCAUCCUAAGGGCUUUGGCAUCAUUAGCAAAACUCUAAGGCAGAGGUUCCCAAACUGUGGUUCAUGACACAUCUCUGGGGGGUACACAGGAGAAAUUGUGAAAUGGGGGAUUUUAUUUAUUAACUAUUUUAUUUAUUGCAUUUUCAUAACAGGCUACUCAGACAAAGCUUAAAAAAUGUGGGAAUUCGUUAUAUAAAAUAUGAUAGUUAAUUUACUUCAAAAUUUAUCAAUGAGUACACAGAGACACAGACAUACAGAGCCCUCACCUCCAAUCACGAAACAGUGCGGGCUCAGUGGCCCAGCAACUGUCCAGAAUAAUUGAGCCCAGAACUUAGUCAAGGGGUUUUUUUUUGGUUGUAUACAUCACAUUUUAACUAACGAUAUCUGUACAUAACAGUGAAAUAUGGACAGAUGGCUUAAAACGGUUAGUGCGAAGAACAUACAUAUCAGUGAUGAGAAGGGUGGAGUACACAGGCAGCUGGUAUCUAAAAGGGUGUCAUAAGGAGGAGGGAGAAAACUUGUUCAUCUUAGCCUCUAAAGAUAGAACAAAAGGCAAUGGUCUUAAACUGCAGCAAGGGAGGUUUAGGUUAGGCAUUAGGAAAAAGUUCCUAAACUGUCAGGAGAGUUAAACACUGGAGUAAAGUGCCUAGCAAAGUUACAGAAACUCAUCUCUGAAGCUA